CCUACGGGUGGCACCAGUAGGGAAUCUUCCACAAUGGGCGCAAGCCUGAUGGAGCGACGCCGCGUGUGUGAUGAAGGCUUUCGGGUCGUAAAGCACUGUUGUAUGGGAAGAAAUGCUAAAAUAAGGAAUGAUUUUAGUUUGACGGUACCAUACCAGAAAGGGACGGCUAAAUACGUGCCAGCAGCCGCGGUAAUACGUAUGUCCCGAGCGUUAUCCGGAUUUAUUGGGCGUAAAGCGAGCGCAGACGGUUGAUUAAGUCUGAUGUGAAAGCCCGGAGCUCAACUCCGGAAUGGCAUUGGAAACUGGUUAACUUGAGUGUUGUAGAGGUAAGUGGAACUCCAUGUGUAGCGGUGGAAUGCGUAGAUAUAUGGAAGAACACCAGUGGCGAAGGCGGCUUACUGGAUAACAACUGACGUUGAGGCUCGAAAGUGUGGGUAGCAAACAGGAUUAGAUACCCGUGUAGUC
rnacentral:rRNA from 1 species